AGAUAUAAAAGAUACAAGUUUGGGUGUCUAGAGAGAAAAAUGUGAAGAAGAAGAGGGUCUUCUUCUAGGAUUUUUGUUUUCAUAUCUUUCCUCCCUCCAUCUUGAGUUUCCUGAGAGCGUCUCAGAUCUGAAACUCCUCCUUCUACUUUCCAUCUUUGGAAGAGUCCAAAUCAGGAAGAAGGAGGCACCUGAUCAACCAUCAAAGAAGGAUCAGUGCAGUACUAGCAUACUGUGCUGAUUUCCUGAAGCAGGACUUCUGAUCGAGAUUCGUGGGCUCGUGUGGACGACUCCUAGAGGCCGGACAUGUGUGCAGCUUGCAACAUCAUCCUUAAGCCCAGAUCAACGAGGUU
rnacentral:lncRNA from 1 species